UACGGUUACAUCAAGUUGUAACACCGAUUUCCGUAUGAUCACUGAAGUUAAGCAACGUCGGACCUGGUUAGUACCAAGAUGGAUGACCGCUUGGGAAUAGCAGGUAC